AUUUUUAGUUUUUUCACUAACAACCUUACCUUUGUUCAUUUUAUUUGUUUAAUUUUUUAUAUUUGCUCUCGGUUUCUAAUUAUAAGUUUUGUUUUUAUUUUGCAGCCGAGGGUUAAUCUCUCUGCACCAAGUCAUUGACAGGCUUGCAAGCACAUCUCCAGUUCAUUCUGUUUGCUCUCUUCCACUUCAUUCGGUUUACCCUACUUCAAACCUUCAGGUGUAAAGGUCCAGUGCUAACUGUGAGGUUUAAUGUAGGUUAAGCUGAAUGAAUUGGAAUAGGAGAUAAGUCCCUUUUCGCUGACAUUGACUUGCAUGUUGGCUAUGGAUGGUAUUGGUAAGGAGCCCCUUUGAAUCAAUUUAUCUUAUUAUUGCAGUAUGUAAGUGGCAUGAGUAUAUUAGAUUUGUCCCCAUUUACUGCAGAUGGUUACUAAACAAUGGGAUUUGAUGGUACUUUCAGAACUGAAUAUCAUGAUAAGAAACUACACAAUUACAUUUCUUUGUUUGAAUAGCAUUAUCGGGAUGAUUCUAAUUGCGCACAGUAUGAGGUUGACAUGCAUUACUUCAGUCUAUUAGAUUCACACUCAAUUAUGAUUCUAAUGAUUGUUCUCAAGUGGUAAUAAGGUUAUUGUACUAUGUUAACCAGAAGAUAACUUAUUAGGGUUGCAACUAAGAAGAAUGUAAGAUCAGCAACAAUCUUUGUUUAAGUUUGAACAGAACAAAUUAGAUUUUCUGGUUUGGUUGUGAUUCUCAUUGUAUAGGCAGUUGUAGGUUCCCUCAGGCCUCAACAUUUAGAAAGAAUCUAGAUUGGCAAUAGAGAGGUUGCAUGAUUCUUUGGCUGCAGUAAUUGAAAAGGCUAAGCAAUGCCUACCAAAGGGUAAAAUCAAAUUUUAAAGUUGGUAUUUCUAUUUAAAUGUCAUAUUUUGUCUGUGAGUUAUCUGAAGGUAUGCUUCAUGUGGCUGUAGUUGAAUUUUUUAGUGAUGGAGUAAAUGUUUUUGAUGAAUCGGUCAAUAUUUACUCCAUCAGUAAGAAUAUUUUUAGUCCAUACUGCAAUCUUGCAGGGACACCUUGCACUAACGGCAGUGUUUGAUCAGUGAAUAUAGAGGUGUGCGAGAAAGUCUUCAUUCAAGUUAGUCCGUUUUCUUGAUGGAUGAUAUGAGCAGGGAUACUUAUGGAUUCGUAGUGAGACCUCAACACCCUAAGAGGUAUCAAGAGUACGCUAUUAUCUUCAAGGAAGAUAAGCUUCAGAACAACUGCCCACCCGUAAGGCUUGAUAUCUGAUGCUCCAGCAGGCAUCAUUGAUUUGACACUAGAGGCGGCUGCAUGGAUUGAUGAAGGAACGCUAAAAGAAUCAGAGGAACAACAUUCUCCACCAAGAGUGUCUUCACAGUUUGAAAACACUAUGAUUCAUGCUGCUCAUGAAAUCUUCAAUGGCCUACUUCCUGAUGUUCAUAUAUUUACAGAUCAUAAAGUUGGAGAUAAAGCUGGAAAGGUGCUUCAUCUUUAUUGAUACUGCAGUUAGCUAUUCAAGAGGGGAGGGAAAAACAAUCGCUGUGAUUCCAUGGCAUCAUUGGCAUGCAAUCACAUGCUGAUGCCGCCUGAAGAGAUUGGUGAGCUAAUUGCUUCUAGGAGAGAUUGAACAAGGAGGAGUGGUGGACUCAACACAUCAGGUUUGUAAACUAAGCUGUAAUUUGUUGUGAUACCUUUUCCGUUAUUUGUUAUUAUGAUUUCUUAGCCUUGUCAACACAUCAACUUUUUGGAUAAGAUGGCCUGAUGUUAACCUGCAUAAAACUCUAAAACAGUCCAUGAUCUGCAUGGCUCAUUUUCUGCAGAAUUCCAUCUUUUAUAUACAUACACAUGAUGGUACCCGGCUUGAUUAGGAAGGCCAGUACCAUGAUGUUUGUUUGGUCACCUGAGUUGUGGAAGAUUAAUUAUCUGAGCAUCUAUGUUGGGUUACUUCAUUAGUUCAUUUCAAUGACAAAAUGUAGCUGAUGUACAUAUGUUGGGGCGAUGCAUAGUUUACUGUGUGGAUUGGCUAGAUAUCAUAUGAAGAGCGGUAAUUAGGUUAACUGUUGAGGAAUUUUGUUUUCUUUUUUGUUUUCUAUUCCCGUCAGUCCUGAUUGUCAUCAUGUUUGUUUAUGUGGGUGUGAUUUCAAGUAAAGUCUUAAAUCACAUGCUGACAGCCCAUGGGGUAUCACAAUAUAAGCAUAAGCUAUUAGAAGUUUGCAUAAUCAAGGGUAGGUUUUGUUCUCUCGAAUACACAAGCAUCUCCAUUAAUUAGUCGGUGAUAUUUAGCAAAGGUAACCCACCAGCCACUUAACCCAACCUUCUUUGCUAGAUAAGUAGUUUCGAAUUUGUCCCCCUCUUCAUCAAGCACAGUAACUUGUGCAUCCUUUUUUGGCAGGUGCGUCUUGCAAAACCGUUAGGAAGACCCUCUUAUGAUUAAUCGUAGUAGGGCCUUCCUAGCGGUUUUUGCAAGAACCACCUGCUAAAAAGGAAUGCACAAGUUUUUUCCAUUGAUGAAGAUGGGGUCGAGUUUGAAACUACUUAUCUAGCAUGAAAGAUUUGGUUAAGUGACGGGUGAAUGAAUUUGCUAAAAAUCACCAACUAGUUGAUGAAGGUGCUUGUGUAUUCCAAAUAACAAAACCUACCGAGUUUAAGGUGAUUAUGCAAACUUAUAGUAGCUUAUGCUUGUAAUACUCCUUUAUUUAAUUCUUUUUUAUGUGAUGGUGAUUGGUUAGAACAUGCUAUCAGAAAUGAGUGUGUCCGUGGUAAACUUGGGGUAGCACCAAUGAAGGAUAUACUAUCACAACAUCGGUUACGUUGGUUCGGACAUCUUCAACGAAGACCAGCUGACGCCCCGGUUCGUUUAGGACGCAUAACACGGCCGGAAGGUAGAAUGAAGCGUCUAGGACGACCGAAACUCACAUGGGAUGAACUGAUUAUACGGGACUUGACUGACCGAGGCUUGGAGAGAGAUUUGGCGUUCGACAGAACUGCGUGGAAAGCAGUGAUCCACGUGAAGGAGGUAUGUACACGAGCCAUGGCAGAAUUGUGAAUGGGGGACCCCCAGUAGCUCUGCAGCUCGCAGGAUUGUGAAGGGGGGACCCCCUCGUAGCCCUGCAUCCGGGACAUGGAGUAUGUGGAUACAUCAUCUUAAUGGUCGCGAACGCGUAAUCCCAUUGAAAUGAUGGCUACUGCACCCUCUGUACCGAAAACGAACACGACAAGGAAUGUGUUAAGGAUUACUCUUACCUCCGGGUAAGUUGCGUCUAGGCCUGCAGGCAGCCGGUGUAAAAACUUCGCCGCAUCUCUGGAGAUAAGAUUGUUACGCGGUUUAUCUCCGCCCGACCUAGUACUUGCUACUGGAAAAUGGCUCUGGUUUCUGGUUUCUGGUGAUUGGUUAGAACUAUUGCAAAACUUAAUUGGUAUGAACUUCUCCUUUUAUUAGUUAUCUUAUCUUCUCCCCACCGUGGUCUAUAAAAUUUGCUAUUUGAUUAUAUUGGAUUCCAGGAUUUGUUACUCCUUCUUUGUGCUUUAUGCCAGAAAGAUUUUUCGAAGGUAUGUGUUUGAAAGCUUUCACCUCAUGCUAUAGAAACACUCAGACAUAUCAGGGAUUUCCUCCGGUGUCAAGUUUGUUUCUAGAUAGAAAUUCCUACCCAACCAGUAAUUCAAUAGGUGACACCAUUCUAAUUUCUAAAUGUUUUUUGAACCAGUAAUGCCAUUCUAAAUAUAUACAAGGCCAACAAGUGAAAUAGAAACAAUACAUAUCUGUCCUAGCUCAAAGAGUAAGGAAGCAUCACGUCAAAUAAUUGGAUCAAAAAACGAAAUAUUAUACAACGUAUCUUGAAAAUUAUUGGUUUAGACAUCUAUGGGGGUGAUAUUAUUAUGGGGUGAUAUUAUUGUUUUCUUGCUUAUUCUAGAUAUCCUGUCAUCUUCUACUUUGUUAAUAUAACUAGUAAUGCCAUUAUUACCAUUUGAAGCUGUAGUCUAAAGCGAUGUACCCAUACUCCGAACCAAGCUUGAAUCUUUUAUAGUUUUAUUGUUGUACUACUAUUGCACGUUUCGAAGUUCCAAAAGUUAUUCACAGAUAAUGAUAGGGCCUUCCUAGCCCUACUUUGCCUAAAUCCUUAAAUGGCGAUAGGAAAAAUACAUAGCAAAAUCAUUCAUUUUAAUCCAUGUUGAUUGCUUUUAUACAGUUAGGAGGCUUAGAGAUUGAGAGAAUUGGAGGGAAACUUUGUAAAUAAACAGAUCAGCUUAGUACAUCUCAUAGUUAUAAAUAUGACCCUGGAGCUUUUAAUAGUACAAGAUGUAGAAGACAGAGAAUCCAUAUCAUUUAUGCUGUUAACUCUUUCAAUCAACAUUUGGUGCAUAUGGUUCUUAUUAACUUCGGCAAUUGAUAUCUGGAGCAUAGGAUGCAUAUUUGUUUAUUUUGUGCUUUCCUUUUAGCUAUCUCGAUUAGUAAGUGUUCAUGCUCACACUUUUUAGUUUUUGUUCUUUUGAACUGCCCUUGCAACUUUUUUGGUUUUAGGUUAAAGGGAAAGUUUGGUACAGACCAAUAAAGUAGUGAAGCAGGUUAGUGAGAACAUUUUUCCGAGGUUUUCGAGAAAACUAAUGCUUCAGCUGCUCUUGCUGCGGGGGAAUAUCUCACUUGGCCAAAACAGUCUCGGAUGGCGAAAUGAUAAUGCUCCCUCUAGCACAUACAACAGAAUCAGGUGGUAGGUUUCUCCAUCAGUACUUUAUGCAAAUGUAUAAUCUGGAGGUGGUGGGUAGUGUUUGCGGAUAUAUUGUAGUGUUUUUGGUUGCGUGAGUUUCUAAGAAUUACCUCCUUCAAAUAGCACACUAAAGGAUGUUAUAACUUAUAUUACAAAAGACACCAACAAUAGGAUAGUUCUUAACAUUUUGGUAUAUGAAUUUUUCGAUGUACAUAGAAAUUUGUAAAAUUACCAUGAUUUUCCAGAUGUUUUAAAUAUAAAUGAAUGGAAGCCUUGAAACCCAAUAAAACCAUGGUUUACAAAA